GGCGCUGUAGCUCAAGUGGUAGAGCACUUCCCUUGAGCUGAAGAGCUGAGGGACAGCGCCC
rnacentral:tRNA from 1 species